rnacentral:rRNA from 1 species
UUUUGCAAUGCCCGAAAGGGUGACGAAGCGACGCCGCGUGCGGGAAGAAGGCCUUCGGGUUGUAAACCGCUGUCGGGAGUUAAGAAGUGCAAGGAUGUUAAUAGCGUUCUUGCUUGACUAAGGCUCCGGAGGAAGCCACGGCUAACUCUGUGCCAGCAGCCGCGGUAAUACAGAGGCGGCAAGCGUUGUUCGGAAUUAUUGGGCGUAAAGAGCACGUAGGCGGCYGUGUAAGUCGGUUGUGAAAGCCUUCCGCUUAACGGAAGAACGGCAUCCGAUACUGCAUAGCUUGAGUGCGGGAGGGGAGAGUGGAACUUCUGGUGGAGCGGUGAAAUGCGUAGAUAUCAGAAGGAACUCCGGCGGCGAAGGCGACUCUYUGGUCCGUAACUGACGCUGAGUGUGCGAAAGCUAGGGGAGCAAACGGGAUUAGAUA